UCUGCCUGGCACAGGCCUGGGCACUCGGCAACUGUUCACCGAGUAAAGGAAGAAACCUGCCUCGAGGCCCUGGAGCUGGGUGUCACUCAGGCGGCUCUAGGGAACCAGUGCCCUGAUGCUUCUGGAAACCACAUGUUCCGGUCUCUGAAGGAGAACUUAGAUUUACAGUGUUCUCGUCCCACAUCAGACCACGUGUCCCUGUGCUGUGACCGCCCAAAGCCUUCUGCCCAGGAGGACAGCGGCUGACACCCACAUCCACCCUGAGGAAGGAGGUGGCUCAAGGCCUGAUGAGGGUGUUGACCUUGGCCAUGUCAAUGUCAUAGAGCUUCUUCACAGCCGGUUUGAUCG